UACAGGGGGGGCAAGCGUUGUUCGGAAUUACUGGGCGUAAAGGGCUCGUAGGCGGCCAACUAAGUCACACGUGAAAUCCCCAGGCUUAACCUGGGAACUACGUGUGAUACUGGAUGGCUUGAAUCCGGGAGAGGGAUGCAGAAUUCCAGGUGUAGCGGUGAAAUGCGUAGAUAUCUGGAGGAAUACCGGUGGCGAAGGCGGCAUCCUGGACCGGCAUUGACGCUGAUGAGCGAAAGCUAGGGGAGCAAACGGG
rnacentral:rRNA from 1 species